CUUUCCUACGGGGGGCAGCAGUGAGGAAUAUUGGUCAAUGGGCGGAAGCCUGAACCAGCCAAGUCGCGUGAGGGAAUAAGGCCCUACGGGUCGUAAACCUCUUUUGCCGGGGAGCAAGGGCCGGGACGCGUCCCGGCCCGGAGAGUACCCGGAGAAAAAGCAUCGGCUAACUCCGUGCCAGCAGCCGCGGUAAUACGGAGGAUGCGAGCGUUAUCCGGAUUUAUUGGGUUUAAAGGGGGCGUAGGAGGGAUUUUAAGUCAGCGGUAAAAAUUCGGGGCUCAACCCCGGCCGGCCGUUGAAACUGG
rnacentral:rRNA from 1 species